UAGAUCAUAUGAUAACAAACGAAAAUAAGGGGAAAAAUUUCUAUAUAAAUAUGUUGCCUCUUGCCUUGUUUCUAGGAGCAAAAAAGAAAAAGAAAUGACAUCUAUUUCCAAUAACAGGAUGAUGAGUCACUACAAUCAACGUUUAGACUCUCCCUAUGAAGCCCUGUGUUGCUGUAUCCAGUGCCUGUGAGCGCGAGGGAGAGGGCACAGGACUGAGGUGGAGACGCGGCACGAACCUGACCUGGAAGGCAGGGCCGUGGGGCACGGUGGGGUGACACAGACAAGAAGAGCAGUGCUGUCCGGUGGGACAGCCCCAGUCAGAACCCGGGCCACAGAGACCAGAACCCUGAAAACUUGGAGCCUUGUUCCUGUAAAGACUUCUGGAGGUCCUCAAUCUGCUGCUGCAAUUCUCGGAUUCGCUCUCUGCUCAGUCUGUCAUAAGAUGAAUCACAUGUGCUUAUUUGUAUUGAAGGGCAAAGCAGUUAAGGCUCCAUAAAGUUCGUUCAUCUUGCGGUGCUUCUGUUCAAGCUGCUCCUGAAGCUCUUCGAUACGUUCGUUCUCAGUACCUUCCUGCUGUAAUCGAAGCAUCUUAUUUUCAUGUUGCAGUCGAAUGAACACCUCCCUGAGGUUAAAAAGCAAAAUUUGUUUUUAAAUUUUUUAAAUCUUGUGAUUUCCUCGCUAGAUAGUUUAUCUUCGAACCAAAUGAAUAUAAUUAUGUAACAAGAGUACAAAUAUGCAACUGUAAAGUAAUUAAAAAAAAAAAAAAGCAUGGACUUUGGAGGCAACCAGAUCAUGGCUUGAAUUUAGUUUCACUGCUUCCAGCUAUGUUAUCUAAGCUGCUGGAAGCAAUGAUGCCAGUAAGGACAAACAAAAGAGUCUUGCCAAGAACUUCUAAGGAAGAGCUGAGAAACGAGAGAUCCACAGAGGACUUUGAAAAGCUCUGACAUAAUCCUGGACAUCCAGGAGGCCAGCCAUGUACAGAGUGCCCAUAAGCUGGCUUCUUCCUGACUUCCUGAGUCAGAAUUUCAGUUGUUCCAGUAUCUAUAAUUUGCACAAGUCGACUGAAAAAAAAAUACGCACAACUUAAAAGGUGCGAGUUGUUUUAUCUGGGGAACUUACUGAAGACUACAGCCCAAGAAACUCUCAGAUAGCUCUGAGGAACUGUUCCAAAGAGGUUCGUGAUUUAUUGACAGUCAAGAUACCCUAUUUGUUCUAGCACAGUGAAGACUUCUUGGACAUUCUCUCCACUGUACCCCAUGACCUAGCACAUUUUCCCGUCUAAGUUAGAGAACACUGAAUGCGUUUUCUAAGGUUCUGGCUGAAAGUAUUUUACAACCUUAAAGCACCCACCAGUCUCUUAUAAAGGUGAUAUACUAAGGCCAAGUUUGGAAGAAUCAUGCAAAAAACACCAGCAUCAAAAGUCUCAUCCCCCAGACUCAUGCAAGCCCCUGAGAUCUGGAUCUCUGUUUAGAUAUACCAAUAUAGUACACCAAUUCCAUUUAUGCCAUCAGACUGCUUAUCUGGAGGAUACACUGGACAGGCAUUCUUCUGAAAAGAGCAGAAUAUCAUCUAAAGAAGCCUGGAUUAUAAUUCAGUUGCUGCAUAUUCAUUUAUGAAAAUCUCAGUCAACCUAUGGUUAUCUUACAUGUGAAAGAGAUGAUGUAUCAAAUAAGCACAAUUUUUAUUGGAUAUCCGCUAAGUGCUAACCACUGGAUAUACUAAAUUAAACAAAUUAAAACAGUUUUAUUUAGCCACUGAAUACGUAUCUCAGAACCCAAGUACAAUUAGGAUAUUCAAGAUUCAUAGCUUUUUAAUGGCAGAGCUAUGCUCAAAUUCAGAUCUUCUGGCUUACAUUCCAGGGUGCUUUCUGUCAACCUUUAAUAGUACGUUUUACGCUAUUUUCUAAAGCAAUGCAGGUUGUUUCUAGAAAGGAGAUAUCCUCCAGUGUAUG